GAUGAACGCUGGCGGCGUGCUUAACACAUGCAAGUCGAACGGAAGGGCUCCUGCUUGCCGGGUUACUCGAUUUGCGAACGGGGGAGUAACACGUGGGGGAUCUGCCCUGCACUUCCGGAGAAGCCUGGGAAACUGGGUCUAAUACCGGGUAGGAUGAUUGGUUGCAUGCCAUUGUGGAAAGUUUUUCGGUAUUGGUUUAGCUGGCGGCCUAUCAGCUUGUUGGUGGGGUAAUGGCCUACGAAGUGGUCGACGGGUAGCCGGCCUGAGAGGUGAUACGGCCACAAGGGGCCUGAGGUACGGAGCAGACUCGUACGGGCGGCAGCGGGCGGAAAUAUUGCGGAAUGGGGGCGAGCCUGAUGCAGAGGCGCCGCGUGGGGGAUGACGGCCUUCGGGUUGUGAACUCCUGUCGCUGGGGACGAAGCGCAAGUGACGGUACCUGGAGAAGAAGCACCGGCUAACUACGUG
rnacentral:rRNA from 1 species